rnacentral:lncRNA from 1 species
CACCCUCCCCUAUGCUUCCUCUCUCUCUGUUAGCCAGCCACCAUGCGUGACUCAAGCACCAGCCAUGGUUGCUGCUGCUACUGUUUGCUCCAUGCCUGCGCACCAGCAAGCUUCUGGCCGGGCUCUUCUUCUUCUUCUUCGUUGCUUGCCUUCGUGGGGCUGGGGCACCAUUGGAUCAGGAAGAGGAGGUUGAAGCCUUCUAGCAAGCGUGGUGACCUUAUGUGAUGGCCCUAUCCUCACCGAGCUUUCUUCUCUCCCAUCUUCUCUGCUGUCUUUGAUCAGUAUUCUUGAUGAAUUGUGUGUAAGUGUCUUCUUGACCUUGCAAGACUUUUUAUCAAAAAAUACUUUUCUCUUUAUCCUCCAUGUUCUCCUUAUGAACUUUUCUUCACAUCUCGCGUCUAUCAAUCCUCCCAUCUUCUAAGUCCCCGUCUAUCCCUCUUGAGCUUGUGACUUAUGCUAAUGAACUUUAGACGUAGCAGUCUUAUUGUUACAGAUAACAGUGUAGUGAAGUUAGUGUAUGCUUCUCAUGUAUCUUUGAGCUAUGAGCCCAUUAUUGUAUGGUCCAGUAGUUUUAUGCAUGUGUGAUGAUCUCUCUAUGCCUCAUCUAUCGCUAGUUUGAUCCUAACAGUCAAAAAGAAGAGAUGUGCAUGCAAGCAAAUGGCAACACUUCUGGUUCUUAAUGCUAUAUCAGGUGGCCUCUCUACCUACUAUGCGCGUGCACUGCACUACUGCGGUGUUAGUGUUGAGGGUUUCUGUGUCUCACUCCCAUUUUCGCUGAUGCAGCGAUCGACGGCGCUUGGACCUCCGCGUGCAAAAUCUCUCUCGCUCUGCGGUGUUUUCGUCCAUGCGAGUGGGUGCUCGUUCUCUUCUCUCUGUCGAUCGCAGCGCCCAGACUAGAGGCGGACCAUGAAUGAAUUAACCGAGCAGAUGCGACGUUCAAAACAGAAAAAAAGAGUACAUAAAUACUACGGAUUUUUACUGAGCGCUAGCUAGCUCCCCUGGCAAGUGAGCGCAUUUUUACGUGUACACUGAAACAUCUACAACAAAUUAAUCGAGUGUAUACGUACGCGUCGGUGGUCCAACGUACCGUACUGCACCACCACUAAGAUCAAACGUACCGUCUGUCCGUCCCCCAGCCACGGGCACAACAAGGUCGCCCACGAAAACAUGCCCCAGCGGCCCAGCACCGAUCGCAUUAUUAUUAGGCAUU